CGCCGCGGUUAUACGAGGGGCUCAAGUUGAUACUUCUCGGCGUAAAGGGUGGUUAAGAAACCUCAAACUAAAGCCAAACAUCUUCAAAGCUGUCAUACGCACCCGAAGAAAUGAAGACCUAUCACGAAAGUAGCUUUAAAAAUUCUGACCCCACGAAAGCUAGGACA
rnacentral:rRNA from 1 species